CAGACUCCUACGGGAGGCAGCAGUGGGGAAUAUUGCACAAUGGGCGGAAGCCUGAUGCAGCAACGCCGCGUGAGGGAUGACGGCCUUCGGGUUGUAAACCUCUUUCAGCAGGGAAGAAGCGAAAGUGACGGUACCUGCAGAAGAAGCACCGGCUAACUACGUGCCAGCAGCCGCGGUGAUACGUAGGGUGCGAGCGUUGUCCGGAAUUACUGGGCGUAAAGGGCUCGUAGGUGGUUGAUCGCGUCGGAAGUGUAAUCUUGGGGCUUAACCCUGAGCGUGCUUUCGAUACGGGUUGACUUGAGGAAGGUAGGGGAGAAUGGAAUUCCUGGUGGAGCGGUGGAAUGCGCAGAUAUCAGGAGGAACACC
rnacentral:rRNA from 1 species